rnacentral:rRNA from 1 species
CGAAGCCCUGAUGCAGCGCACGCCGCGUGAGGGAUGACGGCCUUCGGGUUUGUAAACCUCUUUCAGCAGGGAAGAAGCGAAAGUGACGGUACCUGCAGAAGAAGCGCCGGCUAACUACGUGCCAGCAGCCGCGGUAAUACGUAGGGCGCAAGCGUUGUCCGGAAUUAUUGGGCGUAAAGAGCUCGUAGGCGGCUUGUCACGUCGGAUGUGAAAGCCCGAGGCUUAACCUCGGGUCUGCAUUCGAUACGGGCUAGCUAGAGUGUGGUAGGGGAGAUCGGAAUUCCUGGUGUAGCGGUGAAAUGCGCAGAUAUCAGGAGGAACACCGGUGGCGAAGGCGGAUCUCUGGGCCAUUACUGACGCUGAGGAGCGAAAGCGUGGGGAGCGAACAGGAUUAGAUACCCUGGUAGUCCACGCCGUAAACGUUGGGAACUAGGUGUUGGCGACAUUCCACGUCGUCGGUGCCGCAGCUAACGCAUUAAGUUCCCCGCCUGGGGAGUACGGCCGCAAGGC